rnacentral:lncRNA from 1 species
ACUCCUCGGGUCCUCUCCCAAAAAACGCGACUGCCUACGGGUUUCCAGUUGCCUCCUUCUCCGCCGGUGGGCUUGCCUUUCUUCUCUAUCUCAGGCGCCCUUAGGGGUGUCGGGCCGGCGAGGCGGAGGUUGCGGCCAUGGUGGGAAUAACGUCCCUCCCGAUUUCACUCCGUCGCGGCGGAGAUGUAAACGCCGCUGUGAAUCGUGUGAAGGUGGUAUGCUUGUAUCUAUGGGUCUGGCCACGGAUCUGGCGCUAUGGUGGGGCAUCUGGGGCCUGGUGGUUGAUUUGGCUUCACGCACGUUUUCUUAGAGCCAUGACUUUUUUGGUGGAUUGCGAGAGGUAGCUGUGGAGACUGCGGAUGCUCGUCAGGGGCGUCGGCUCUCCUUCAUCGGUCAUCUCCGGCGAGGCGAGCUGACGGGGGACCGGCGGAGCACGGGGUGGGCCCUGGCCGCCAAUGUGCCUUAAGUGUCUUUAAGAACCCACCUCCUAGCUCUCGCGGCGGGCUUCAAGUGCGGCGGCUCAACAAAGCUACAAAGCGAUGGUGCUCGUCAGGAUCUCCCCAGUUGGUUUGGCCUGCUUCACCUCCGGCGACGGAAUGUGGCGGAAAUCGGCAACUGCAGCAAGCACUAGUCUCUGGGUGGGGUAAUUUUCUGUUUUGCCAGGGGCUUCUGUGCAGUUGGACAAGGGCAACUGUCCUUUCGUAUCCUUACGUAUUGUACAGUUUUUAUACGUGCCCUUGUACUGUUUCUCCUUACUACUACCUCCGUAUCAUAAUUGGUGUCUCAAAUUUGCUCAAAUAUGGAUCCAUUACUAAAAAACGUCUAGAUACAUGUAAUGUUUCGCAAGAAUUAUUAAAAAAAAUGCAC